rnacentral:ribozyme from 1 species
UGCCCAGCAACUCCUAUCCCUACCUCCUCGCGGUAACCAACCCCCGGUGGGAACUUUGGUCGUAUGCUGACAGGGAAGG